AAAAGGCGAAACGUCAUGUGACCUGCAUGCUUUGCGAAUCAUCCAAUCUUUGAACGCAUCUUGCACCUGAUGCCUCGCGCAUCAGGUAUACUUGUUUGAGUAUGACAUACAUAUGAUCACAGAGGGAGACGGGUUCGAUGGGCACCGAACCUGAGACGCUCUGCUCUGUGGACUUGGCACUGUCGGUAUGUGUGUUUGUGUGGGUAGUGGCAUGGGUACGCUACAACGAUCCCCAACCGACCGACCGACUUUGCUUAAAUGUAGGCCUCAGCUGCCGAUGGGUUGAACCUGUCAGAGGCGGCGACGGUGGAAAAGUGUGUGUGUGUGUGCAUGCGCGUACAUGAGUACGUACGUACGUGUACUACAACAACAACAUCAUCAUCUCAAAUCAAGUAAGAGG
rnacentral:misc_RNA from 1 species